rnacentral:rRNA from 1 species
CUCGGUACGCGCGGAUCUUCCAGAGAUUAGAGUUUGAUCCUGGCUCAGGAUGAACGUUGGCGGUGUGCCUAAUACAUGCAAGUCGAACGGUGAUAUUUUUGUAGUAAUACGAAUUUAUCAUAGUGGCGAACGGGUGAGUAACGCGUUGGUGAUCUGCCUCGAAGUGUGGAAUAACGUCCCGAAAGGAACGCUAAUACCGCAUGUGCCCUCGAUUUUUAGAAAGUUGAGAGUAAAGGAUUUAUUCGCUUCGAGAGGAGCCUGCGUCCCAUCAGCUAGUUGGUAAGGUAAUGGCCUACCAAGGCAAUGACGGGUAGGGGACCUGAGAGGGUGGCCCCCCACAAUGGAACUGAAACACGGUCCAUACACCUACGGGUGGCAGCAGUAGGGAAUAUUAGAAAUGGACGAAAGUCUGAUCUAGCGACACCGCGUGUGCGAUGAAGGCCUUCGGGUUGUAAAGCACUUUUUGGAAGGAAUAGGAAGGAAGGUACUUCCAGAAUAAGUCUCGGCUAACUACGUGCCAGCAGCCGCGGUAACACGUAGGAGGCAAACGUUAUCCGGAUUUACUGGGCGUAAAGCGCGUGUAGGUGGUUCUGUAAGUA